UUUCCCUCAGGAUAGCUGGCACUCGCUCGAACGAGUCUCAUCUGGUAAAGCGAAUGAUUAGAGGCCUUGGGGCCGAAACGACCUCAACCUAUUCUCAAACUUUAAAUGGGUGAGAUCUCUGGCUUGCUUGAACGUUGAAGCCACGAGAUAACAUUUUCAAUGGAUCAGAGUGCCAAGUGGGCCAAUUUUGGUAAGCAGAACUGGCGCUGUGGGA
rnacentral:rRNA from 2 species